UACGAAGGGGGCUAGCGUUGUCCGGAAUACUGGGCGUAAAGCGUGCGCAGGCGGUGAUGUAAGACAGAUGUGAAAUCCCCGGGCUCAACCUGGGAAUUGCAUUUGUGACUGCACGGCUAGAGUGUGUCAGAGGGGGGUAGAAUUCCACGUGUAGCAGUGAAAUGCGUAGAGAUGUGGAGGAAUACCGAUGGCGAAGGCAGCCCCCUGGGAUAACACUGACGCUCAUGCACGAAAGCGUGGGGAGCAAACAGG
rnacentral:rRNA from 1 species